UCACUACACCUCGAGAAGACACUGGGCAGUGUGCUCAGAUGCUGCUUUGUGGUCGAAUACCUUGCAGGUGUUCAGUUGCUGCCUUUCCUUGUCUCUGGCUUGGCCAAUGUCUUCUGUGACGUGACUCGUUGCAGUUCUGCUGCAGCACUGGAAGUGCCUACUACCCCUUAGUAAAUGGGGAGCUCAGUCUCUCUUACAAAGGCCCAAAUCCACAAACUAUUUAUGUACACAAUUCCAGCUGAUUUUUAUCUCAGUUGCCUGAAUAUCUUUGCAUAUCUGGGCCUAAGUGUUUUGUCUGUGGUCAUGCAGGAAGUCUAUGGUAAGCAGAGAAGUGAAAACACAUCCCAAGUUAAAGCUGUAAUUACAGUGCCAUCCUUCCCUUCGUUAGGAUGUUUUGGGGGGCAGGAGAAGAUCUCCACUUGCUUUGAAAACAGCAAUAUUUUGCUCUGUAUUUUGAUAUUUGGCUUUAAAAUAAAAACCUGUAACGCUGAUGUAAAUGAUGCCUAUUGAUUAUCCUCUCAUAAAAUAGAGAGCUCACUUAAGCAGGCAUUGCCAUGGCUGAAAGCCAACGCUGCAAUUGAUCAUUUAAUUAACCGGAAGAAAAUUAAAGGAACUGUAAUCUGCUGUGUCUCAGCUCUCUUGUUAUCAAGCUGGCAAAGUGCUUAUUUCUGCCUAGAGCAACGAUCAGUUCCUUGACCCUGUGAUUUAGAAACACUGGUUUACACAUCGCCCCUCACCUACCCACCUGGCUUUCUGCAAGGCAGGAUGCGGUGUGACCUGAGCCCUCCUUCACCCCCUUGUGGACCCCAGACACCGCAGUACCUGAGCCUGAAAGAGAAAUGGAUGUUCUCUAAAAGUCGUGUUUUAGAGGUUGGGACUAGAACAUGAGAGCUCUUGAGUUUAUUUUAAUACCAGCAUUUCCUUAAAGGGAUCACGGUAUUUAUUUUCAUGUAGCUACUUCAGAUAAAUGAGAGGACAGUGUGUUUGAGACAGAAAUGGUCCUGAAGAUAUGGCUAUCUCCUGAAGCUUUGCCUUCAACAAACAACCUGAGCGAUCUGUGAACAAAGAGAAAAGAAAAAAAAAAUAAAAGAAAAGAAAAGGAAAAAAAAAAAACAGAUGUAAGAAGCCAUUGUUUUAAUGAUUGUGUUGCCAUAUCAAGUGAAGAGAGACAGCUGCCUCUAACUUGUCUUUGCAUGCCUAAGUAAUAUAUUAAUUACCUCAUUACCCAUAAAUGCCUACAGUCCUGCAAAAGGCAUGUUAUAACAGACGUAGUCAUUAAAGCUUGCGCUGCAUUUUUGAUGUGUUGCGGGAAAACAAACAAACAAACAAAACCUCAAGUCCUUUGUGUUUCAGCUAGAUCCAAGUUGGGGAAAUGUUAAGUAGAAGCACUUAACAAACUGUAUCGUUCGAAAGCGUGUUUUAAUGCCAAAACAGGAAGAAAACAGAAUUUGAAACGGUUCCCAAUGUUUGAUCAGCCUUUUUUUUGCUUUGUGUGAGAAACUUGCGGUCCAGGCUGCAACAUAACAAAGGGCUCGGUAGGAGGGAUGAAAAAGAUCAAAAAGAGGAAAAAGAAACUUCUUUCAAAACGUCGCUGCUGAUCAUAAGGAGCUGCAGGAGUCAGAUAUCUGCAUGAAAUUGAAACCACUUCACCUUCCGAGACGCGUAUUUUCCCUCUGCUCUGGGUUAUAACUCACGCACGGACCCUCGCAGGGUUUGUGCUGCCUCUGCUGGCUGCUGCUCUGGCUUCCCCCGGGUGUUCUCAAGGCAUUUCACUUGCGUUUGUAGUGCCUUCAAAAGGGAAGCUGGGCAAAGAAGAAAGUAAAACUAGCCUGGUAAAAACAGCCGGUGCCCUGCUUGUUUGUGUGAUGACAGACGGUGCCGCGCUGGUCACCGUGGCCUCAUGAGAAAGUUGUGCUCUGGGUGUGGGAGCAGAGGCGAGGAGGAGGAGGAGGAAGUGUCCCAGUGCCACACAGCAGGACAGACGGCCAUGGAGACAGUGCCUGGGGUGUUCAAAGGGACACAGGACCGAGAUGAGGAGCACCAAAUCCAUGGUUUAGGCAGCUCUGCACCCCCCAAAUGCAGGGUGGGGCAAAGCUGUGCCCAAAUCCCUGUUCUGACUGAUCCGGAGUGAGGAUGUAAACCCAACUCCUCCGCAUCCCUGAGUGUCUCUGUAAGCAGGAGUUAAAGGACCAAGGGGAAACAGGUCUCCCCGUGCACUGCAUGAGGAGCUGAACUCCAUGCCUGGCACACCGUGAACUCCCCCGCUCGGCGCGUGGAGAAGGAUUGCAGCAAUGAGAUCUGAAAUCCUUUCUCUGAGUGAUUUGUACAGCAUCCUGCGGGAAGCCUGUAACCGAAGCAUCCAGGACUUCAACCACAAACCCUUCUUUUCUGUAAGGAUAAUUUCAAAAUUCCAUCCUGCUUUUUGUCCACAUCAGGAAAACCACCAUACAAUUUGCAAUAUCUGCCCAGGAGUGUCCUGGGGUUGGCAGGAUGUAGCCAACUGGUGAAACUGCAUGGCUUAGCCUGCCGAGCGCAUGCUUGCCUCAUGCUUUCAUCUGGUGAAUUCCUUUCAUGGGUAGAAAAUCCUUCCCUCAAAUCUAAUUACACUGAAUUGGACAUAGUGCUUUUAUUAUGCUGCAGAAUUUGUUAGCCACAUUGGUGUACUUCUCUGUGCAGAAAUCAAAGUCAGGAGAGUAUUUCCAAAUGUCUGAAUGUGCACUGAGUCAGGCAGGCUUUAUGAGGUGGUCAUAGCUUAAAACAAAUAUAUUGUGCAAAUGUGAACAGAAGAAUAAAUAAGAUCUUGGUACAAGAAGGAAAGGAACUAAAGUUAGAAAAGACCAGUGGAAAUAACAGAUGCCAAGGAGAGACUCUGACUCCCCUUGUGUGCUCCCGUUUCAGACAAUAUUCUGAGUAACAGCAGCAUUAGCCUUUCACUAUCAAUGUUUUGAUUUGAAUUUAAUUCAAAUUUCACUUCACUUUUCUAUUGUGAAAGGAGCUGGCGAUCAGACAUCUCAGAUUCUUGCAUUGUUAAGCACGGUGAGUCAUAGUAACGAGCCUUAGAUCGCUGAUAGCAGUGUGCAGAGGAGCCAAGAGGCUGAGCAGCCUUAGAGACCUUCUGGCACUUCCAUUUCAGGUAGAUGCUCCCACAGGGGCUGUGUGGGCACGGCGUGUUUUGUGGCCAAAUAUUGAUAGAUUGGUAUGUUCCCUUCACUGUAGCACGGUGCUUAUUUAUUGAAUCGAUGAACAUUAGUUCCCUAAAUGUAAUGAGCUGUGCUGCCAAGCGAAGGUCCAGGAAGGGCAGAGCUGCUGGUGGGUUGUCACAGUGGCACCCCAUGCGAGGUGCGUCACCAACUCGAGUGACGUAAAUGGAGGGAGCCUUUGUUGCUCUUUAACACCCCCCAUCGGGAAGUCCAUCCUCAGAAAAUCUAAGUGCUCUUUGGGAGAAAGACGCCUGAGAAAAUUAAAGCCCUGGACUUCUUCCCACUGGAGUCAGCAGAAGUUUUGCCAGUCAAUAUUGAUGAGGGCGUGAUAGGGUCCCGAGAGUUAAUGCAUGCAGUGCCCAUCGUGGUGAUAUUCGGCCCAUCAGCAGAUAGAUCUGAAGCCACAGACGGGAGCAUAUCUCACAUCUUUGCAUUGAUUUGUUCUGCUGCUGAAUCCCUGCCACUGUCCUCACCGAGCCACCUGCUGACUCAUCAGCUCGCCUUCUCUGCAUUUGCCCUAAUUAGUCAUAUGCAAACAGACUUUUAUUCAGGAAGUUCUUUUAACGUAAGUUGGAGUAUGAACUUAGCACAGCAAUAAAGAUCAGGAAAAGUGAGUGUGCUAUACACUAGUAAGGCUCUGUUAUCAGCCACUGGCAAAGCGGAAAAGAAAAUGUAUAUGCAGAGUUUUAGUGACUCAAAAGUUUAAUAAAGGGGAGGAUGGUGGGGAGAAUAUUUGCUUAACGUCCCUCUAGAGAUGCUGUAGCAUGAAAUGUUUAACUGCUGAACAAGUUUCCACUAACAUCAUCCUGAAACACAAUUGGGUUUUGAUGCAGUGUUCUUUAUUAUGGGCUUGGGGAAAGCAUGUUUGGCAUGAGAGAAAUGUGUCUAGUAAGGAGACCACAACACUUAUUCACAGCUCCUCAGCCAGUUCAUGCUGGGAAGUCCGACAUCUUUGAACAAUUAAAUUGAGCAAUGUUAGUAAUUUGUACGCCGAGAUUUUUUCUGCCGUGUCUUCUGCUCAGAGACUGCUAACACAUCUAGGGCUUUGGUGACUCAAUUAUUAAAAAUGAUCAGAACCUAGCAUGAGAGCAUUCAACGAGGAACUGUUUCGAUGCACUGUACAGUGUGUAAAGUUGGAUAAUGGUAAUAAAGGUGUACAAGUGAAUCCUGAAACAUCAAUGCUUAUGGGCACCAAAAUUAAUCAUCAUGCAAAGGAGCGACAGCUAAAGGAUUGAAAAUAAGAGACGGCUGGGUGGGAUCAGGUGAGUUCUGUAGCGUUAGAGCUAGGCAACCCCUGGUCUGGAUUACAUCGGUGCUACUUGGUCUUUAAAAGGAACACAAUCACCUUUGUGUGAGCACUGAGACCGCAGUUGAAGUGCAAAGCAGGCUUUCACUGCCAUGUGGCAGCUCAUCAGGAACCACUUCACCCUCACACCCACAUUAGAGAAGCUGAAACAGUUGCUCAGAGUUGCACCAGCCUCCUCU